GACGAACGCUGGCGGCGUGCUUAACACAUGCAAGUCGAACGGAAAGGCCCUGCUUUUGUGGGGUGCUCGAGUGGCGAACGGGUGAGUAACACGUGAGUAACCUGCCCUUGACUUUGGGAUAACUUCAGGAAACUGGGGCUAAUACCGGAUAGGAGCUCCUGCUGCAUGGUGGGGGUUGGAAAGUUUCGGCGGUUGGGGAUGGACCCGCGGCUUAUCAGCUUGUUGGUGGGGUAGUGGCUUACCAAGGCUUUGACGGGUAGCCGGCCUGAGAGGGUGACCGGCCACCUUGGGACUGAGAUACGGCCCAGACUCCUACGGGAGGCAGCAGUGGGGAAUAUUGCACAAUGGGCGGAAGCCUGAUGCAGCAACGCCGCGUGCGGGAUGCCGGCCUUCGGGUUGUAAACCGCUUUCGCCUGUGACGAAGCGUGAGUGACGGUAAUGGGUAAAGAAGCACCGGCUAACUACGUG
rnacentral:rRNA from 1 species